rnacentral:rRNA from 1 species
AACGAACGCUGGCGGAAGGCUUAACACAUGCAAGUCGAGCACCCCGCAAGGGGAGCGGCAGACGGGUGAGUAACGCGUGGGAACGUACCCUUUGCUACGGAAUAGCUCCGGGAAACUGGAAUUAAUACCGUAUGUGCCCUACGGGGGAAAGAUUUAUCGGCGAAGGAUCGGCCCGCGUUGGAUUAGCUAGUUGGUGGGGUAAUGGCCUACCAAGGAGACGAUCCAUAGCUGGACUGAGAGGAUGAUCAGCCACAUUGGGAAUGAGACACGGCCCAAACUCCUACGGGAGGCAGCAGUGGGGAAUAUUGGACAAUGGGCGCAAGCCUGAUCCAGCCAUGCCGCGUGAGGGAUGAAGGCCUUAGGGUUGUAAAGCUCUUUCACCGGAGAAGAUAAUGACGGUAUCCGGAGAAGAAGCCACGGCUAACGUCGUGCCAGCCGCCGCGGUAAGAC